rnacentral:rRNA from 1 species
UACGUAGGGGGGCUAGCGUUGUCCGGAAUCAUUGGGCGUAAAGAGCGUGUAGGCGGCCCGGUAAGUCCGCUGUGAAAGUCGGGGGGCUCAACCCUCGGAUGCCGGUGGAUACUGUCGGGCUCGAGUACGGAAGAGGCGAGUGGAAUUCCUGGUGUAGCGGUGAAAUGCGCAGAUAUCAGGAGGAACACCUAUUGCGAAGGCAGCUCGCUGGGACGUUACUGACGCUGAGACGCGAAAGCGUGGGGAGCAAACAGG